rnacentral:rRNA from 1 species
UACGUAUAGAGCAAGCGUUAUCCGGAUUUACUGGGUGUAAAGGGUGCGUAGGUGGCAGUGCAAGUCAGAUGUGAAAGGCCGGGGCUCAACCCUGGAGCUGCAUUUGAAACUGCAUAGCUAGAGUACAGGAGAGGCAGGCGGAAUUCCUAGUGUAGCGGUGAAAUGCGUAGAUAUUAGGAGGAACACCAGUGGCGAAGGCGGCCUGCUGGACUGUUACUGACACUGAGGCACGAAAGCGUGGGGAGCAAACAGG